AUUGAACGCUGGCGGCAGGCCUAACACAUGCAAGUCGAACGGUAGCACAGAGGAGCUUGCUCCUCGGGUGACGAGUGGCGGACGGGUGAGUAAUGUCUGGGGAUCUGCCCGAUAGAGGGGGAUAACCACUGGAAACGGUGGCUAAUACCGCAUAACGUCGCAAGACCAAAGAGGGGGACCUUCGGGCCUCUCACUAUCGGAUGAACCCAGAUGGGAUUAGCUAGUAGGCGGGGUAAUGGCCUACCUAGGCGACGAUCCCUAGCUGGUCUGAGGGGAUGACCAGCCACACUGGAACUGAGACACGGUGCAGACUCCUACGGGAGGCAGCAGUGGGGAAUAUUGCACAAUGGGCGCAAGCCUGAUGCAGCCAUGCCGCGUGUAUGAAGAAGGCCUUCGGGUUGUAAAGUACUUUCAGCGGGGAGGAAGGCGAUAAGGUUAAUAACCUUGUCGAUUGACGUUACCCGCAGAAGAAGCACCGGCUAACUCCGUGCCAGCAGCCGCCGUAA
rnacentral:rRNA from 1 species